GUGUCAGCCGCCGCGGUAAUACAGAGGGUGCAAGCGUUAAUCGGAAUUACUGGGCGUAAAGCGCGCGUAGGCGGCUUGCUAAGUCGGAUGUGAAAUCCCCGGGCUUAACCUGGGAAUGGCAUUCGAUACUGGUAGGCUAGAGUUUGAUAGAGGGUAGUGGAAUUCCCAGUGUAGCGGUGAAAUGCGUAGAUAUUGGGAGGAACAUCAGUGGCGAAGGCGGCUACCUGGAUCAAAACUGACGCUGAGGUGCGAAAGCGUGGGGAGCAAACAGGAUUAGAUACCCCAGUAGUCC
rnacentral:rRNA from 1 species